rnacentral:rRNA from 1 species
GACAGAGGUGCCAAGCGUUAGGCGGAAUCACUGGGCUUAAAGCGCGUGUAGGCGGGCCGGCACGUCGGUGCCUGAAAGCCCCCGGCUCAACCGGGGAAGCGGGGCCGAUACGACCGGCCUGGAGGGGCGUAGGGGGACCUGGAACUUCCGGUGGAGCGGUGAAAUGCGUUGAGAUCGGAAGGAACGCCCGUGGCGAAAGCGAGGUCCUGGACGCCUGCUGACGCUGAGACGCGAAAGCCAGGGGAGCGAACGGG